CCAAAAAAAAAAUCUGAAUUUCUACAUACAACAUUUGACUGUCUAUCUUAUAUGAAAUUUUUUUAUAAUUAGUAUUUUUAAACAUGAUUAAUACUUUAUGCGUGACUUGUCUUUUUAAUUUUUUUUUAUAAUUUUUUAAAUAAGACGGACGGUUAAAUGUUGAAUACGAAAAUCUAGUGUU
rnacentral:pre_miRNA from 1 species